UACGUAGGGGGCAAGCGUUGUCCGGAUUUAUUGGGCGUAAAGAGCGUGUAGGCGGCCAGACAGGUCCGUUGUGAAAACUCGAGGCUCAACCUCGAGACGCCGAUGGAAACCGUCUGGCUAGAGUCCGGAAGAGGAGAGUGGAAUUCCCGGUGUAGCGGUGAAAUGCGCAGAUAUCGGGAAGAACACCCGUGGCUAAGGCGGCUCUCUAGUACGGUACUGACGCUGAGACGCGAAAACGUGGGGAGCGAACAGG
rnacentral:rRNA from 1 species